rnacentral:rRNA from 1 species
GCCACAGCCAUAUCACCCUGCAGCCCAAGACUGGUUGCCCACUGAAGCUAAGCAGAGUUGAGCCUGGUCAGUACCUGGAUGGGAGACUUCCUGGCAAAACUGGGUUGCUGCUGGAA